rnacentral:rRNA from 1 species
AUUAAGCCAUGCAGGUCUAAGUGCACACGGCCGGUACAGUGAAACUGCGAAUGGCUCAUUAAAUCAGUUAUGGUUCCUUUGAUCGCUCCCACCCGUACUUGGAUAACUGUGGCAAUUCCAGAGCUAAUACAUGCAAACGAGCGCUGACUGGGCCUCCUCACGGGGGCCUGCGGAUGCGUGCAUUUAUCAGAUCCAAAAACCCAUCCGGGGGCCUCGUGUCCCCGGUCCGCUUUGGUGACUCUAGAUAACCUCGGGCCGAUCGCGCGCCCUCUGCGGCGGCGACGUGUCUUUCGAAUGUCUGCCCUAUCAACUUUCGAUGGUACUUUAGGCGCCUACCAUGGUGACCACGGGUAACGGGGAAUCAGGGUUCGAUUCCGGAGAGGGAGCCUGAGAAACGGCUACCACAUCCAAGGAAGGCAGCAGGCGCGCAAAUUACCCAUUACCGACACUGUGAGGUA